ACGAACGCUGGCGGCGUGCUUAACACAUGCAAGUCGAAUGGAAAGGCCCUGCUUUUGUGGGGUGCUCGAGUGGCGAACGGGUGAGUAACACGUGAGUAACCUGCCCUUGACUUUGGGAUAACUUCAGGAAACUGGGGCUAAUACCGGAUAGGAGCUCCUGCUGCUUGGUGGGGGUUGGAAAGUUUCGGCGGUUGGGGAUGGACUCGCGGCUUAUCAGCUUGUUGGUGGGGUAGUGGCUUACCAAGGCUUUGACGGGUAGCCGGCCUGAGAGGGUGACCGGCCACAUUGGGACUGAGAUACGGCCCAGACUCCUACGGGAGGCAGCAGUGGGGAAUAUUGCACAAUGGGCGGAAGCCUGAUGCAGCAACGCCGCGUGCGGGAUGACGGCCUUCGGGUUGUAAACCGCUUUCGCCUGUGACGAAGCGUGAGUGACGGUAAUGGGUAAAGAAGCACCGGCUAACUACGUG
rnacentral:rRNA from 1 species